rnacentral:rRNA from 1 species
AGUGAACGCUGGCGGUAGGCCUAACACAUGCAAGUCGAACGGCAGCACAGUAAGAGCUUGCUCUUACGGGUGGCGAGUGGCGGACGGGUGAGGAAUACAUCGGAAUCUACUUUUUCGUGGGGGAUAACGUAGGGAAACUUACGCUAAUACCGCAUACGACCUACGGGUGAAAGCAGGGGAUCUUCGGACCUUGCGCGAUUGAAUGAGCCGAUGUCGGAUUAGCUAGUUGGCGGGGUAAAGGCCCACCAAGGCGACGAUCCGUAGCUGGUCUGAGAGGAUGAUCAGCCACACUGGAACUGAGACACGGUCCAGACUCCUACGGGAGGCAGCAGUGGGGAAUAUUGGACAAUGGGCGCAAGCCUGGUCCAGCCAUACCGCGUGGGUGAAGAAGGCCUUCGGGUUGUAAAGCCCUUUUGUUGGGAUAGAAAAGCAGCAGGUUAAUACCCCGCUGUUCUGACGGUACCCAAAGAAUAAGCACCGGCUAACUUCGUG